CACUAGCCUAUAUGAAGGCCCAAAAUUGUGUGUUCCUUUCUGCUCUGACAAUGGCAUGCCCAUUCGUGCGAGAUGUGGUGGAUGAAGAAGCACUUGUGCUGAGGAGAGCCUUCAGGCGAGAAAGGGUCUUCAGGGCCGGUUGGACCCACUGGCCUUCCCUGAUGACCAUCUAUAUGAAAGAUACAGGUUUUCUGCAGAUGGCAUCAGGUAUCUAUGCAGACUACUGGGUCCCAGGAUUAAGCACCGCACUGCACGGAGCCAUGCACUGAGUGUGGAGCAAAUGGUUUGUGUGGCCUUGCGCUUUUUUGCUAGUGGAGCCUUCCUGUACUCAGUGGGGGAUGCAGAACAGCUGAACAAGGCCACAAUUUGCCGCACAAUAAGGAGUGUGUGUCUGGCUAUCAAAGCAUUAGCAGAUGUCUUCAUCUCCUUCCCUGGCCACAGAAGACUCUGUGACAUCAAAGAGGAGUUCUAUAGGAUUGCAGGUUUCCCCAAUGUCAUUGGUGCAGUGGACUGCACACACAUAAGGAUAAAAGCCCCCGCAGGUGCCCAUGAGGCCGAUUUUUGUGAAUAGGAAAUCCUUUCACAGCGUUAAUGUUCAGAUGGUCUGCAAUGCUGACUGUGUGAUCAGCAAUGUUGUGGCAAAAUGGCCUGGCUCAGUCCAUGACUCCAGAAUCUUUCGGGCCUCUGAAAUCUAUCACAAGGUGAAUUCUCUGGUGUGUUGCUGGGAGACAGGGGGUAUGGCUGCCAGCCUUUUCUCCUGACACCUUUCACAGACCCCCAGGAAGCACAGCAGGCCUACAACCAUGCCCAUGCCAGGACCAGGGCCAGAGUUGAAAUGACCUUUGGCCUCCUGAAGGCACGCUUUCACUGCCUUCACAAAUUAAGGGUCAGCCUGUUAGGGCAUGUGAUAUUACUGUGGCUUGUGCUGUCCUCCACAAUGUGGCCUGCCUGAGGAAGGAGAGGGCCCCAGAGUGCCACCAGCCAUGGACUGGGACAAUCCGGCAAUCUUCCCUGAUGACGACAGUGGUCGGCUGCUGAGGGACCAAUAUGUGUUGAAUUAUUUUAGUUAGUAUGUGUGCUUUCAAUUUUGGUUAAAUAUGUCCUGCGGUGGCAGAGGAAUUUGGUUUUUUUUGGGUUCGUUUUUUGACGAAUUUGGCCUCUUAUGAUGUUUGUGCGGUAUACUGUGUGUAAUACAAGGCUGCAGGGAGGCUACUGCAUCCAUUCAUUUGUCUGUUCAGUUGAUGUGUAUGGAUUUGUCCUGCAUUUAUUUUAGUGUGCAGACAUGCAGGGUGUGUUAUAUACAGACCUUUGAAUGUGUAUGUAUCAUUUUGUAUAAUAUGCUUGGAUUCUGUGCUUUCCAUCUUGUAGAGUCACUGUGACUUCAGUUUCGAAAGGAGCUGAUGGUUUACCUGCUUUGUUUUGUCCUUAUUCAAUAAAGGAACAUAAUGUUACACAUUGUGUUUUUAUAUUCAUA